AGCUCCAAUAGCGUAUAUUAAAGUUGUUGCAGUUAAAAAGCUCGUAGUUGGAUUUGUGGUGACAGUUGUGGUCCAUUUUUGGUACUAACGAUUGUUGCCAUCCUUGGGUGGAACCUGUGUGGCAUUAACUUAUCGUGCAGGGGAUGCCCAUCGUUUACUGUGAAAAAAUCAGCGCGUUCAAAGCAGGCUUAUGCCGUUGAAUGUCUUAGCAUGGAAUAAUAAGAUAGGACCUUGGUGCUAUUUUGUUGGUUUGCGUACCGAGGUAAUGAUUAAUAGGGACAGUUGGGGGUAUUCGUAUUCCAUUGUCAGAGGUGAAAUUCUUGGAUUUCUGGAAGACGAACUACUGCGAAAGCAUUUACCAAGGAUGUUUUCA
rnacentral:rRNA from 1 species